GCUUCGCUGACGAGUGGCGGACGGGUGAGUAAUGUCUGGGAAACUGCCUGAUGGAGGGGGAUAACUACUGGAAACGGUAGCUAAUACCGCAUAAUGUCGCAAGACCAAAGAGGGGGACCUUCGGGCCUCUUGCCAUCGGAUGUGCCCAGAUGGGAUUAGCUAGUAGGUGGGGUAACGGCUCACCUAGGCGACGAUCCCUAGCUGGUCUGAGAGGAUGACCAGCCACACUGGAACUGAGACACGGUCCAGACUCCUACGGGAGGCAGCAGUGGGGAAUAUUGCACAAUGGGCGCAAGCCUGAUGCAGCCAUGCCGCGUGUAUGAAGAAGGCCUUCGGGUUGUAAAGUACUUUCAGCGGGGAGGAAGGUGUUGAGGUUAAUAACCUCGUCAAUUGACGUUACCCGCAGAAGAAGCACCGGCUAACUCCGUGCGAGCAGCCGCGGUAAUACGGAGGGUGCAAGCGUUAAUCGGAAUUACUGGGCGUAAAGCGCACGCAGGCGGUCUGUCAAGUCGGAUGUGAAAUCCCCGGGCUCAACCUGGGAACUGCAUUCGAAACUGGCAGGCUAGAGUCUUGUAGAGGGGGGUAGAAUUCCAGGUGUAGCGGUGAAA
rnacentral:rRNA from 1 species